rnacentral:rRNA from 1 species
GAGGUUGUUUCUCGCUCCAACAAAUACGUUCCGCAAAGGGGGCUGGAAGCAGAGCUUUGGGAGAGACGGCCGACGAAGAGGCCAGAUGGCUGUUCGUGCGGCGGAGAGUCAGCUUCCUCAUAAGAUCCAACUUUACCGUAUACGCAUGUCCACCGCCUCUUUGGAGACGUGUGAGUACUCCAAGAAUGGCGUCCACCUCGCGGGGCUGGUCGGACAAAGAGAGGUACUGUUCAUGAAAAUGUGCCGACGAAGCCAAAAGUAGAAGUACCGACGGUCGGUCGAGGGAGAUAUACCGAAGUUUGGUCCGUACCCCUAACUAGGUAAAAUGACCCAGCCGUACCGAAAACGUAGUUUGACCCCUUGAGAGUGGUGAAAACCCUAGGAGGGACAAAAACAUGGACUCAAAAAUCACGGUCAGACAUAGAGCUCCUAAGAUUUUCACUCGUCGUCCUGAGGACUCCCAGCUUACGAAGACCUACCUCGAGUGUUCCACCAACCCUAUACGUGAUUGUAACACUACCAAUAAUAGAAAUACGAUCACAUACGGUAAGAACAGUUUCAACUGUGCACGUGACGACAACAUUACUACGAGGUUGAAAAGAAGAGACCACAACAACAGGAGAUAGAGCUACUCCACGACUUCUUUCCUAUACCUAACAACGGUUCAUAGAGCAAUAAGUGACGGUGGUUAUAAACACAUUCACAAGAAACCUUCCGGAAAUCGGGGAGAAUACAAUGAAUAAUAGUACUCGUUCCACGAGUUAAACUCCCUCGACAAUAACGGACCCAGGUAGAAAACCAAUGACCUUGCCUGUUCAAGAGACGUUGGACAGUUCGGAAAACGGCGGUUUUGGAGGGCUUACAGUGGUUGGACGACCAAUGAACGAACAAAACAGAUUAACGGAAUAAGAAAGUCUCGAAAAUACAACGCGACGGUCACUUCAAUGAACUAACGCGAGUCAAGUGGAUGGCGGAGUUCAAGAGGAUAUAGAGGAUGCGGCGAUAAUAGAACGUUGUCCAACACCAAUGCAUAGAUAAUCAGUAGAGUCUCCAUNNNNNNNNNUAUAAAACACGUAACCACCUGGACGUACCGUCCAGCUUACCCAGAUCAUUCUGAUAACCCUAAACAGCGGCUCCGCUACCCUAAAAGAUGAUGGAUUGUCGUGGAGGUUGAAACUAACUAGACGUCUCUCUGGGCCAGGUACAUAAAGAGAUGUAGCAGUAACACGAAUCACGUACACGAAUAAAGAGUCAUUAAACCUGGUCUACGACAUACUGUAGGUCUUCUAAAAAUGUACUGUACGAUCCCCUUCUACACGUCGAAGGACCGGGACUGUGCUACAGACUGCUGCUUAAGGUCUCAACGUAUCGGUUCCCCCGAACAGAACCACCGUAAACACACCCGAACAACUAUCAAAACAGGCUAAAACGACCAGAUACACCAAGACCAUACCCCUAAGACGAACGACAACGUCGCCACAUAGGGAUGAAACUCCCCCACUCUCGACUUCUGUAUCCACAGAAACCGGAGACUGGCCAACGUAAGGAGAGUCGCAUCUAAACCCACUUAACUUACGAUAAGAGUGAACAUAAGUCUUAAAUUCGUUGUAGCAAGCCCUUAGAUACGUUCGCUCAACUCUUUUAGAUCAGACAUGCCAGGAAAACGACGCUUGCGACACAUUACUGAUAAAUAAACCCAAAUAAUUUAUGAAACUACCUACUCCUCC